CUCCUUCGCUUUGAGAUGGCCAACUAUUGUGUGUUUAUGAAGAGAAGUGCCUAAUCUCAAGACCAAAGGUGCUACGAGGUGAUAUUUGUGUCGUGAAACUUAUAAGAAGCAGUACAUUACCAUGCCUACAGGAAGAAGUACAACUGAUGGUCACUGGAUUUCUGAAUACACUAUUUUUCUCUGUAUUUAGUAUGUAGUCAGGUGGAUAUGACUACGUUGAGUCAGAUGAAAGACAACGACCUCAAAGAUACUAUAUAAGCACAUGGUUAAUGGGAUGUUUAAUGAUUUCUGUUCCAUUCCUGGCUUUUAUUACCUCUUAUGGUCAGUGGGAUGGUUAGUGCUUAUAUUGUUUUAUUAUUACACUCUACUGGUUGCUGUGAUUUUGGAUGUGAGGUAGUAUGACUUAUGAAUAUGAUAUGAUCAUGGUCUAUGUUUUUCUCUCUGUGCAAAGAGCCUUCCUCUCUUGGUGCAUUGUUAGGUGAUCAAUUUACCAAGAAAAGGAAGUCAAGAUAGCAUAUCCGAUGGCAAUGUUCCAUGCAAUUGUUUUUGACAACUUCUGGCUGGCUGCUCAAUCUGUUAUGUGGUACCAACCACCUAGUUACGUGCUCAGUAAUUGUGUUUCAGUAGUUUAGCACCACAAGCUGCAAAGUAUUGGUUGCUAUCAAUUUGAUAGUUUUUAGCCUAUAGUUGUUGCCUUCAUGAGUAAUGCAGUCAACUGAAUAUCACUGAUGACUGCUCUAAUUUCUGUCUCAAUUAGUUGCCCCUAGGUAGUAGAAUUACUUCGAAAGUAUAGUCAGUAGCUUACGUUCUGAUGUCCCAAAAAACACCAUCCUCGUUCGUCGGCACACAGGAAGUUGCAGGUGUGUACACAAUGUGCUUGCGUAAAUGUCAAUGGGCAAUAGUGUGCAUUUGUUAGUUUUUUACAAGUAUUGGUUGAGGAGAGUGAAAUAUAUGCAGAUUUAAUGUCAUUGAGUUCUUAGUUUCUUUUUACAUAUCUCAGGCUAGCCUACUUCUGUAGUAUCCUGAUGGUUCAGUUUCUGCCUCACCACUUGACCUCCUGUAUAUUGAUUUUCAGGAUAAGCUGAUGGAUGUUGGAUUUGGGCAGACAUUAGAUGAAAUUAGAUAAGUUGUCGAUCCAUAUUUGGUUAACAGAGACCAUAUGGGGCCAAAUAAUUCAGAUUCGUUCUCUUCCUCUUUCAGAUGUUGGUGGCAUUUUUUCACUGCGUCUAUCUUCCACGGAAACAACAGGAUUUCAGUCACGACUUUUACCGACACGGCUUGCUGCACGCUAGGACCUAAAGUUACCCUUGAUUUUCUGGCUUCAUCAGAGAAAGUUCUUGGAAGGCAGUUGUCGCAUAAAGCUCAGGCGGAUGUGGUGGCCAAGAAGAAGAAUGCCUAAAUAAAAAGCAGGUAUAAUAUCUAAAAUGAGUUCCAUAAAUUUUCUUGCGUCUGGCCUUGCAUACUCUUGCAGUUUUAAAUAGGUUUCUGUUUCUCAUAGGAAGUACAUGUUAAUUCUAUGCUCUCUACUGUAUAUUAGGUUUCAGUUAUGAUUUAUGACUGGUUGAUUUAUGGUUGCC